AUUGAACGCUGGCGGCAGGCCUAACACAUGCAAGUCGAACGCGUGGCGGACGGGUGAGUAAUGUCUGGGAAACAGCCUGAUGGCUGGGGAAAACUACUGGAAACGGUAGCUAAUACCGCUAACCAUCAGAUGUGCCCAGAUGGGAUUAGCUUGUUGGUGGGGUAAGGGCUCACCAAGGCGACGAUCCCUAGCUGGUCGGAGAGGAUGACCAGCCAAACUGGAACUGAGACACGGGCCAGACUCCUACGGGAGGCAGCAGUGGUGAAUAUUGCCCAAUGGGCGCAAGCCUGAUGCAGCCAUGCCGCGUGUAUGAAGAAGGCCUUCGGGUUGUAAAGUACUUUCAGCGAGGAGGCGUUACUCGCAGAAGAAGCACCGGCUAACUCCGUGCCAGCAGCCGCGGUAAUAC
rnacentral:rRNA from 1 species